rnacentral:misc_RNA from 1 species
UCUCCGUAGGUGAACCUGCGGAGGGAUCACUAACGAACGGCCUCCGUGCCUUCGAACCUCAAACUCGUGGACCAAAACUCGUGGUUCGGCGGCCCCGUCCUGGGGCCGCCGUAUUUAUGCACAUAUGCCGUGGGCGUCGGAUCGAAACAAGAAUUAGUUAAAACUUUCAACAAAGGAUCUCUUGGCUCUCGCAUCGAUGAAACGCAGC